rnacentral:rRNA from 1 species
GCGUGGGUGAAGAAGGCCUUCGGGUUGUAAAGCCCUUUCAGUAGGGAAGAAAAGCUUGAGGUUAAUACCCUCGGGUCUUGACGGUACCUACAGAAGAAGCACCGGCUAACUCCGUGCCAGCAGCCGCGGUAAUACGGAGGGUGCAAGCGUUAAUCGGAAUUACUGGGCGUAAAGCGCGCGUAGGCGGUUAUGUAAGUCGGGUGUGAAAGCCCCGGGCUCAACCUGGGAACUGCGUCCGAUACUGCAUGACUAGAGUCUGGUAGAGGGAAGUGGAAUUCCGCAUGUAGCGGUGAAAUGCGU